rnacentral:rRNA from 1 species
UACGGAGGGGACUAGCGUUGUUCGGAAUUACUGGGCGUAAAGCGCACGUAGGCGGAUUUGUAAGUCAGGGGUGAAAUCCCGGGGCUCAACCCCGGAACUGCCUUUGAUACUGCAAAUCUCGAGUCCGGAAGAGGUGAGUGGAACUCCUAGUGUAGAGGUGAAAUUCGUAGAUAUUCGGAAGAACACCAGUGGCGAAGGCGACUUACUGGACACAUAUUGACGCUGAGGUGCGAAAGCGUGGGGAGCAAACAGG